AUGAUGACCUAAAUACCAACUUUAGUAGUACAGAUCCCGUAGACCCAUUGGAUGAAAGCUUUCAGCCUGGGAACAAGCUCAAGCUCAUCUGACUCGGAAGAGGAAAAGACUGCACGGGACCGGCAAGAGCCAAAGUAUAUAGUCUAUGAGUCCAAGAUCAUGGAGCUCACUAAGUUCUGACAGCCAAUCGUCUCUACAGACAUUUCAUAUGUUGGGGACAUGAUGAAAGUGAAGUGGAACUGUAAUGGUGGACACACAGGAAGAUGGACCUCCAGUCCUGACAUUCGGGAAAUGGCAGAUGUUCAGCUUCUCACGGCUGUGUCUGUGCUGUUUUCAGGAGGCACUUACACCGAGCUGCAGGACUGGACUCAGACCAUGAACCUGAAGUUGUUUGGCAGCACCACCAUCUAUCAGAUUCAGAAUACCUACCUGUUUAACGAAGGAAUGCUAUUUUGGCAAGACUGUUCCUGGAUCAGGAGGAAAAUGGUGUUGGAACAAAGCUGUCUGGGGAUGCACGCAGCGACAGUCCAGGCUACAGGUCUCUAUCUUUUAUUGCUAUUUAACGUGCAGUGCCUACUUAUGUGUGUUAGUAUGUGUUUUCUAUCAUGUGUUUUCAGUGAUACAGGUCUUUAUAAUUGUUAUGGUGAUGAUAAGUGAUUUUAAAAAAUCCCAAGUUGGGAUCAAUAAGCACUAUUCUGUACUCUGUCUCUAAAGUGCUAAAUACACCACCUAUACCCUGAUGACCAAUGACACCAACGAGAUUGUGCACAGCGAACUGAUACAGGUCACAGAGGCACCCAGCUCUGUUGCGAUAGAGGUAAUUGGCUUCAAGUGGGCCCUGACAGAGCUGUUGGACAACAUGGAUCUCCAAGUGGAUGUGGUCACAAGUGACCAUUCCCCCUCUAUUCGCAAGAUGAUGAGGGAGCUCUUCUCUGACAUCCAACAUGAGCUCGAUGUGUGGCAUACAGUGAAAGGUCUCCAAAAGAAACUUCUGCUGAAGGCCAAGAAGCGAGGGAAUGAGGCCUUGUGUCCCUGGAUACACUCCCUCACGAACCACGUUUUGUUGUGCAGCAAAGUUUAAUGGAGACCCUGAGGAGCACAUCUGUGAUGUACACAGCUGGACAGAGUUGAGGGGGAAGUCCACUGUCAACACCCUGACCUGUCCGAUUAUGACCGUGGCAAGAAGAAGUGACUGUCCAUGGACUCAGUUGUGUAUGAAUACCUCUACAGGCCAUCUGGAGGCAUUCCACAGUGCUCUCCUGAAGUAUACCCCAAAGCGGUACAAACAAAUCUUCUGCAAGAGGUCAAAGCAGUGGGUGGGAAAGGUUUGUCCACUACUUCAGGGAGAAGCUUGCUCCCCAAACCCAACAUCCCUUCUAACAUCGCCACAGCGCUAAAGCCUGCUAACCAGCUGCCAUUGCCCAACACAAGAAGAGUUUCACCAGCUGAACAACAUUCAGGACCCUGCCUGGAACAUUCAGUCAACAUGGUUCUAAGCUGACAUAUGGAAUUGUUUUAAGAUGGUCAUACUAUGGAUCAUUUAGCUAUUUGAUUUGGAAUUUUAA